CAAGAAUUCUAAUGCCUGAGGAAGCUCCAUCCUAAGAACAUCUUUUGUGACCCAAUGGACAACUCUAGUAAGGAUAGCCUUCUUGAGAGAUGUCUUCGAUCUUUGCACUGCUAAGAAGAGGAGUCAUCCCUCAUAACAAAGAAAAAAAUGGGUGGGGUGGGGAGGAGUGCAAAGCAAUUCAACAAAACCAACCAAGACAUCAACCAACUGGAGAGUACCACACCUAAAAAACCCCACUGGUACAAAGAAAAAAAAAAGGACGUUCAGGACCUUUUCUUAACUCUUUUUCCAGGCCAAGUUUGGUCAUUGUCA